UUGUGACCUUGAGAGCAGAGCAGUAUUCUAAUGAGACUCAUGUGUAUGUGUAUGUGAGGCUAAUGUGUAUUCCAGAAGAUCCCCUACUUUGGAACAAUUCCCAUCCCAUUUCCAUAGUAUAGUUAACCCUUCUCCUGUGUUUAGACUAAAAACUGCACUGCAAUAACACAAUGCAUGUGAG